AUUGAACGCUGGCGGCAUGCCUAACACAUGCAAGUCGAGCGGAGCGGCGGACGGGUGCGUAAUGCCUAGGAAUCUGCCUGGUAGUGGGGGAUAACGUCCGGAAGCGGGCGCUAAUACCGCAUACUAGCAGAUGAGACUAGGGCGGAUUAGCUAGUUGGUGGGGUAAAGGCCUACCAAGGCGACGAUCCGUAACGGGUCUGAGAGGAUGAUCAGUCACAUUGGAAUGGAGCCACGGUCCAGACUCCUACGGGAGGCAGCAGUGGGGAAUAUUCGACAAGGGGCGAAAGCCUGAUCCAGCAAUGCCGCGUGUGUGAAGAAGGUCUUCGGAUUGUAAAGCACUUUAAGUUGGGAGGCGUUACCAACAGAAUAAGCACCGGCUAACUUCGUGCCAGCAGCCGCGGUAAUAC
rnacentral:rRNA from 1 species